UUUAUUGAUGCAGCAACAUACACACGUUUCAUACACAAGGUAACUCAAUGUGCUUUACACAACCAAAAGCACAACACCGAAAAGCAUUUACAGAC